rnacentral:misc_RNA from 1 species
AAAGUGCGAUAAGCAAUGCGAAUUGCAGAAUUCCGCGAAUCAUCAGAUCCUUGAACGCAACUGGCGCUAAGAGGCUCUCCUCCUAGCAUGCCUGUUUCAGUGUCUGAAAACCUCACAUCUAACUUAAUGUGACUGACAAAGAUUGGGGAGGAAGAGGAAAAAGAUUUAUAUCUCUUCUCCUCUCUCUCUCUCCCCCUUUCUAAGUCUUUCAUGAAAGAUGUGCGUGUGGGUCUUUGGACCCCUCAUCGAAUUGGUCACUGGUCUCUUCAGUGAUUUCGAUAGGGGGAAAUAAAUACCAAUUACCUGAAUACACGUAGCACUAACUAAAAUUCAAACACUCAAACUCUGCAUCUGAAAUCAGGCAAGAACACCCGCUGAACUUAA